rnacentral:rRNA from 1 species
AUACGAAGGUGGCAAGCGUUGUUCGGAAUCACUGGGCUUGAAGGGCGCGUAGGCGGCAGUGCAAGUCAGAGGUGAAAGCCCACGGCUCAACCGUGGAAUGGCCUUUGAAACUGCAUCGCUUGAGCUGCGUAGGGGUCCGUGGAACUCUCGGUGGAGCGGUGGAAUGCGUAGAUAUCGAGAGGAACGCCGAAGGUGAAAACAGCGGACUGGGCGCAUGCUGACGCUGAGGCGCGAAAGCGUGGGGAGCAAACGGGAUUAGAAACCCCAGUAGUCC